AAUUUACUUUCUAAACCACUUGUAAUUUUCCUCAAGAAGGUUAAACUAUGUUUUUUUUUAAACACUUCCUGUAGAUCCUUCACAUUAAAAGCCUUACAGUAAAGACAAAGGAUUAUGGCUUUUAGCUUGAAGCCGUUUUAGGAAGUCGAAGAAUUGAGGAAGAUUGAAAUUGUUGGCAGAAGGAGCUGGUGUGAGAGAGAGGAGGAUUAAUUAGUCUGCAGUCCACACUCCGGAGCAGAAGGUGGCGGUAGUGCACCCCAAAUGUUGGUUACCACUUCCAGUUCAAAAUGAAGAGAAGAAGAAGGUGGACAUUUUUCACAGCUACUGUUUUUGUGGAUUUCUUUCAGUGAAGUCCCGUGGGUGCUUUAGGCAGUUCUGGCUGAACCACAAACACAGUGAAGAGCCAGAGAUCAGAGAUCACUGCAGCAGCUGCAGGUGCAUCGCGUCCACUCGCACCAGAUAUCCGUGCUCCCUGUCGCUGUGCGGCUCCCCGAGGUUCAGCUGACACCCAGAUGCUGUUACGGGAGACGAACCAGGCCUCGGUCACGUCAGCUCCGUGACAUCGAAGCGACCGCGACACCGCAGCAAACCGGCGAUGACGGAUGCCUUUUUGUCUUCUGCAGUCAGGCCGCAUCGUCUAGCCUGCGGACGAUUGUAAUCGCACCGACAGGUGACACAUCUGUGGAAACCAGAAGAUGAUGGCGAAGACUACUUGGAUCAUGUGACCUGCACCUCACAUGCCUCCUCCGAGUACAGUGUUAAAAGAGGAUAAUCUGGCACAUUGACAUAAAGAACAGCACGCAAACAAGACUCCAGUCAAGAGCUCCUGUCACUUCCCCCUCCUCCCAGAGUUCAAGGUCGCCAUGUGGCUAUUUCCGGCUCGUCUUCGCUUUGAUCCGUGUCGCAAAAUGACAAGAUAUGCUGGUUCGGUGGGAAGAGGGCAGAGCAGUCACAAGGCAUGCUGGGAUAUGAGUCCUGUACGCUGUGUGUACCUCCAGCUACAAUUCUUGAAGAGAAGAGAUUCGCUCUUUCGGUGGGAAGAAUGCAAAGCACAAGGCAUGCUGGGUGAACCUCCAGCUACAAUUCUUGAAGAGAAGAGGGGCAAGAGUGAGUGAACCCAGGGCUGCGUUACUUAAAACAAGCUCCUGGAAGACCUUUUUGAUGUGGAUGGAAAAGCAGAGUGAGAGCUGACAGCCUCUCUGCUGCGGGUCAGAGGGCGUGAUGAUGCGGACGUAAGGUUUGUCAGGCUGGGCAGGGUCCUCAGAGAAAUAAUGCCGGCUCAGGUACUCCAGGUAACCUGUCAACAGGAGGGACUUCCUGCGCAGUGCCUGCAUACUGGUCUGGUUGAACACCUGGCAAAAUCAAAAAGGGACUUCAUGUAAAAAUGUGUUUGUUUCUGUAAAUAAACUGACCUGUUCUAAA